rnacentral:rRNA from 1 species
AAGAACGCUGGCGGCAGGCCUAACACAUGCAAGUCGAACGCCCUCUUCGGAGGGAGUGGCGCACGGGUGAGUAACGCGUGGGAACCUGGCUCUUGGUACGGAACAACCGCGGGAAACUGCGGCUAAUACCGUAUACGCCCUUUUGGGGAAAGAUUUAUCGCCGAGAGAUGGGCCCGCGUCUGAUUAGCUAGUUGGUGAGGUAACGGCUCACCAAGGCAUCGAUCAGUAGCCGGUCUGAGAGGAUGAUCAGCCACACUGGGACUGAGACACGGCCCAGACUCCUACGGGAGGCAGCAGUGGGGAAAUAUUGGGACAAUGGGGGCGCAAGCCUGAUCCAGCCAUGCCGCGUGAGUGAAGAAGGCCCUAGGGUUGUAAAGCUCUUUCAACGGUGACGAUGAUGACGGUAGCCGUAGAAGAAGCCCCGGCUAACUCCGUGCCAGCAGCCGCGGUAAUACGGAGGGGGCAAGCGUUGUUCGGAAUUACUGGGCGUAAAGGGCGCGUAGGCGGUCUGUUGCGUCAGGUGUGAAAGCCCCGGGCUCAACCUGGGAGGUGCACUUGAUACGGGCAGACUGGAAUCCGGGAGAGGAUGGUGGAAUUCCCAGUGUAGAGGUGAAAUUCGUA